rnacentral:rRNA from 1 species
CGGGACUCAUCCGAGGCCCCGUAAUCGGAAUGAGUACACUUUAAAUCCUUUAACGAGUAUCCAUUGGAGGGCAAGUCUGGUGCCAGCAGCCGCGGUAAUUCCAGCUCCAAUAGCGUAUAUUAAAGUUGUUGCGGUUAAAAAGCUCGUAGUUGGACUUGUGUCCCACGCUGUCGGUUCACCGCCCGUCGGUGUCUAACUGACAUGUAUCGUGGGACGUCCUGCCGGUGGUGGCGAGUCGAAAGAUCGCGACGCUGCGGCCUGCCGCGGGUCGGUUGCGGUUCGUAGACGGACCCCGAUGAAAUCCUACCGCGGUGCUCUUAAACGAGUGUCGAGGUGGGCCGGCACGUUUACUUUGAACAAAUUAGAGUGCUUAAAGCAGGCCUGAUGCGCCUGAAUACUGUGUGCAUGGAAUAAUGGAAUAGGACCUCGGUUCUAUUUUGUUGGUUUUCGGAACCCGAGGUAAUGAUUAAUAGGGACAGUCGGGGGCAUUCGUAUUGCGACGUUAGAGGUGAAAUUCUUGGAUCGUCGCAAGACGGACCGAAGCGAAAGCAUUUGCCAAGUAUGUUUUCAUUAAUCAAGAACGAAAGUUAGAGGUUCGAAGGCGAUCAGAUACCGCCCUAGUUCUAACCAUAAACGAUGCCAGCUAGCGAUCCGCCGAAGUUCCUCCGAUGACUCGGCGGGCAGCUCCCGGGAAACCAAAGCUUUUGGGUUCCGGGGGAAGUAUGGUUGCAAAGCUGAAACUUAAAGGAAUUGACGGAAGGGCACCACCAGGAGUGGAGCCUGCGGCUUAAUUUGACUCAACACGGGAAACCUCACCA